ensembl:lncRNA
UAUUAUCAUCAUUACAUUAUCAGCAGCAUCAACGUUAUCACCAUAUUCUUCAUCCUCACUAUUAUCAAGACUGUCACCGCUAUCAUCAGGAGCUUCUAGGAAGUCACCUUUUGAGUUAACAACUUCACAACCCAAACAGGUCAGAGGCCUGAUAAGAGUGCCUGUGUGUGGUUUAAUGUUAGACAAGCUUUUCUUUAAUUAUUAUAUACCAUCAGAAACACUUGUUCCUGCUAAUCACAAGUGUAGUGUUGGUUUAACGUUCAUUUAGUUGAUCUUCUACAUUUAGAUUUAUUGUAGUUCUGUUCCUAGCUCCACUGUUUUGAUCAGCAAUAAAGAAAAAAACAGUGCUAGUGCUCUCACUCUAGUCUCCGCCCACUCAUCUUCCGCCACCAAUCAGAACACUCAAGCGUUCACUGACCACAGCUGCUCUUGCAGUAGCUCAGAGCUGGUUUUCUUUGAGGUGGUCGGAUAACAUCAGAGUGUGGUUAACCUUGCAGACCGUCGCUUAAAUCUACUCUUCCUCCCUGCGUUUCCACAGGUGAACAUUGUAACAACAUGUGAAUCUAUAUGAAGCCAUCUCACCUUUGGAGGUCUCCAUUGACGCAAUUACAUGUGACCGCUUGGAGGCGCUAUUGAGACACUUGCUGCUUUGGCAUCAUAUGAAGCGUCUCAAUGUCAUUCAGUCUCAGAUUGAGACGCGUUAGAUCCGCUGGCGAGGAUGAAGCACCUGAGAGAGUUAAUGGGAUGAGAUGAACAGAGCUGCUGCGGGACGCCCCAACAUCAGUCACACACACACACACACACACACACACACACGCACACUGCAUGGAGAUGAUGUGCUGUCUGCUCUCAGUACUGCAGGUUUCUGGAGGCUUUGAUAGAAAGCGUGAUUUAGCUGCUAACCCGAGCAUCGCUCACGGAUGGAGAGAGACGGCGGCUGAAAUCUCUCCUGCGGCUCUGAUUGAUGGAGGAGUUGAAUAGACGAGCUGGCAGCAGAGCUCAGUAUCGUUCAUUCUAAUGUGUUUGCCCUGAAUGUGAGCAUGACUUUGCUGCAUUACCCUGCGCAAAUCAAAGGGUGAAAUAAAAGACAAACACAUAAAGUCCA